rnacentral:lncRNA from 1 species
UCUAGAGAAACACUGCGAGCCCCACGCGGGCUGGUGGAGCCUCUUGCCUGGAAAAAGAUGUGGAAACGCGCAGGCUGGGCGUCAGAGUUUGGUUGAGGGUCUGUCAAAAGCCCAAACGUAACCCUCCCAGGCCACUUUCCUUAAUAUUUGGAUUUUGAUCACGAUGAUUAAGACAGCCGGUGAUGUGUAAUCAACAGCAUCUUAAUUUGCAGUUUUUCAGGAGGGUGAAUUUGACCUGACUCUGAGCAUCUUCAUUGCCCAGUGUGGACGGUGUGAAGUUAAUGCGGUUGAAAUACAGAGGGAAUCAGAUCACCGAUGUCAUUUCAAAGAAUAACUUUUCCCUGAUUCAAAGGGUCUCUCUUGCCUUUCACAUACUACAAAUGUGGAGAGAGAGACAUAAAGAGUUUUAAAAAUUAAAUUCUUAAUUUGGGGUAUUCAUUUUUAAAAUGAUUUACGCGUUUCGCCCUGGAGUGGUUAGAACCUGGUUUUAUUUUCUAGGGUUUUAUUUUUCCUUUUCUCUAUUUCAAUUAAAGGAAUCUCUUUAAAUGAAUAAACCAAUUAAAUGAAACUUCUUAUGAUUUCAUUCCAUACAAUAGAAGAAACAAAUGAUCAUUAAAAGUUGUCUUAGUGUUACAAAGGAGAGUAAUUAAUUCUCAGCAUUCACACCAGCAAAACGAUAAACAAGAGGGAAAACAUCCCCCAACUCUGGAAGAGGUGGUGUAGAUGUGAAUCUGCAAACCAACUUAAAAAUAUAUAUACCUAGUUUGAAAUUAGUCUUUGGAAGAAAUGUAAUUCCCAAAUUAAGUCUUUUGCCACCUUAGCAUAAACCAAGGCUAGUUUUUAGCGGAAGACCAGUUCCUCUGGGCAAGAGCUGUGAAUUUCAAUAAGUUGGCAAGCCAAGUUUUCUACACAAAUCAGAGAUUAAAUCAAGUUGUUUUCCCUUUUUAAAAUAUAAAGUAUAAACAAAUACCAAACUGGGGCAUGUUCCAAAUCCUCUGCAGCUAAAUUGCAUUUAACUUUUCCACCAGAAAAUGUGAUCAAUUUAGUAAGCCAAUAAGUACAUAAAUACUACCCCCGCUUAUGUUUUAUCGCAGA